rnacentral:rRNA from 1 species
GCAAGUCGAGCGGUAACAGAUCUAGCUUGCUAAUUCGCUGACGAGCGGCGGACGGGUGAGUAAUGCCUGGGAAUAUGCCUUAGUGUGGGGGAUAACUAUUGGAAACGAUAGCUAAUACCGCAUAAUGUCUUCGGACCAAAGAGGGGGAUCUUCGGACCUCUCGCGCUAAGAUUAGCCCAGGUGAGAUUAGCUUGUUGGUGAGGUAAGAGCUCACCAAGGCGACGAUCUCUAGCUGGUCUGAGAGGAUGAUC